rnacentral:hammerhead_ribozyme from 2 species
ACAUUGUACGGGGCUGAUGCUGUCCCGCUGAUGAGGCCGAAGCAGGCCGAAACAAUCA